AGUGAACGCUGGCGGUAGGCCUAACAGAUGCAAGUCGAACGGCAGCACAGUAAGAGCUUGCUCUUACGGGUGGCGAGUGGCGGACGGGUGAGGAAUACAUCGGAAUCUACUUUUUCGUGGGGGAUAACGUAGGGAAACUUACGCUAAUACCGCAUACGACCUACGGGUGAAAGCAGGGGAUCUUCGGACCUUGCGCGAUUGAAUGAGCCGAUGUCGGAUUAGCUAGUUGGCGGGGUAAAGGCCCACCAAGGCGACGAUCCGUAGCUGGUCUGAGAGGAUGAUCAGCCACACUGGAACUGAGACACGGUCCAGACUCCUACGGGAGGCAGCAGUGGGGAAUAUUGGACAAUGGGCGCAAGCCUGAUCCAGCCAUACCGCGUGGGUGAAGAAGGCCUUCGGGUUGUAAAGCCCUUUUGUUGGGAAAGAAAAGCAGCAGGUUAAUACCCCGCUGUUCUGACGGUACCCAAAGAAUAAGCACCGGCUAACUUCGUG
rnacentral:rRNA from 1 species